rnacentral:rRNA from 1 species
AGCGAACGCUGGCGGCAGGCCUAACACAUGCAAGUCGAACGAACUCUUCGGAGUUAGUGGCGGACGGGUGAGUAACACGUGGGAACGUGCCUUUUGGUUCGGAAUAACUCAGGGAAACUUGUGCUAAUACCGAAUGUGCCCUUCGGGGGAAAGAUUUAUCGCCAUUAGAGCGGCCCGCGUCUGAUUAGCUAGUUGGUGAGGUAACGGCUCACCAAGGCGACGAUCAGUAGCUGGUCUGAGGGGAUGACCAGCCACACUGGGACUGAGACACGGCCCAGACUCCUACGGGAGGCAGCAGUGGGGAAUCUUGCGCAAUGGGCGAAAGCCUGACGCAGCCAGGCCGCGUGAAUGAUGAAGGUCUUAGGAUUGUAAAAUUCUUUCACCGGGGACGAUAAUGACGGUACCCGGAGAAGAAGCCCCGGCUAACUUCGU